rnacentral:rRNA from 1 species
UACGUAGGGUGCGAGCGUUGUCCGGAAUUACUGGGCGUAAAGCGCACGUAGGCGGCUUUGCAAGUUAGAGGUGAAAGCCCGGGGCUCAACUCCGGAAUUGCCUUUAAAACUGCAUCGCUAGAAUUGUGGAGAGGUAAGUGGAAUUCCGAGUGUAGAGGUGAAAUUGUAGAUAUUCGCAAGAACACCAGUGGCGAAGGCGGCUUACUGGUCCGGAACUGACGCUGAGGUGCGAAAGCGUGGGGAGCAACAGG